GGCCAUACAACCACAACGUAAACACAUACACACAGGUCUGUGACAGGAGGCGCAUUGGUAGAGGACACCUUGUCUGGUCAAACCGGCGUCACAGCUAACGUCUGCAGGGACACGAGAGAUGGCCUGACUUGAUAUCUGUUCAGUGCAAUGGGUUUGACACUCUCCGUGUCGCCGCCUACUCUCUGCUGCCACUCAACUACAGGAGAGACUCAAGCAGCCGAAACACUGUACUACAUUUUGAGAGAUGCCCGGUCACGUAAUUCAAGGUCUUUUCAUUCAGAUUCGUACGGGGAGCAAAGACGAGCUCCUUCAGCAACGCAGAGAAGAAAGAGGAGAAGGGGAGGAGGAGAAAGAUGCAGAGAGGAAAAGGGGGAGAAGUCUGAGAGAGACCCUGCUGCUGAAUACACAGCAGUCAGAUUAAGAUUAAACAGUAAAUAAAGAGGUUGAAAACGCACAUGACAGCAGAAGAACAACCAGAAAGUUUAUACUACACUAUACUAUUGCAUAGUACUAUUUGCAUGCAAAUGGAAAAGCUUUGCAUUGCGUAAAAGCUGAAUUACUAAUCCAAUCGAAAUAUCAAUAUGUGAAUUACAACUACGUCAUAGAGAAACAUACAUUAAAAUACAUAUUUUGUGGAUAUUUACUUUAAAUGGUCCAUUUAAUGUCCUUCCUGCAUUUGACAAUUUGUUAGAAAUUAUCCGUAACGAUAACCCUAUCCAUCUUAUACUGCAAGCAGGUCAAAACUAGUGCGUUCUUCCACCCAUUCAUCAACAUACUUCCCUGAUAACAUCUGAACAUUUUGAGUCAUGAAUGGCUGUUGUGUUUUUUACUGAAGUCUUGUACCAAAGCCACUUAUCUAACUUGGCCAUCCAGACUCUAAAUGACUUCCAAAUGGCUUGGUCCAUUCAUGUCUUCACUCCCACACACUAAGAGAAGUAUGGCAGCCCACUGAAGAAAAAUUAACACAAACAUGUAUUUGCAUGCAGUUAACAUUACUAAAUAAUGAUGGAUGGGUGGAUAAAGCCCCAGAGAAGGCCAAACAUAUACAUGAGUAUGUUUUAUGUCAUCACAAAAGAUUCUCCAGACUUAUCAUUUAAUGCACUGUGGUUCUUCUUUACAACAGUAGGGGGCAGUAAUUACCUGUGACCUCUGAGAUGCUGUGUGGGGGACAGACUAUUACUCGGGGACCACACUAGAGACCUACAGAAUGUAAACUGUGAUGCUGUGAGGAAUGCAUCUUCAGGAUCUAGGCUAUGGAUUCAGAGGAGUCAGGAUGGGAUUUUUUUCUUACAUGCCAGCCUUGAAACAAAAUGUCAUGCAGUGAACUUUUAUAGUAGAAAUACACAACAAACAAUGGAAAGGUUUACAGCAAC